UACGUAGGGUGCAAGCGUUGUCCGGAAUUAUUGGGCGUAAAGAACUCGUAGGCGGUUUGUCGCGUCUGCUGUGAAAACGCGAGGCUCAACCUCGCGCCUGCAGUGGGUACGGGCAGACUAGAGUGCGGUAGGGGAGAUUGGAAUUCCUGGUGUAGCGGUGGAAUGCGCAGAUAUCAGGAGGAACACCGAUGGCGAAGGCAGAUCUCUGGGCCGUAACUGACGCUGAGGAGCGAAAGCGUGGGGAGCGAACAGG
rnacentral:rRNA from 1 species